rnacentral:rRNA from 1 species
GACAGAGGAUGCAAGCGUUAUCCGGAAUGAUUGGGCGUAAAGCGUCUGUAGGUGGCUUUUUAAGUCCGCCGUCAAAUCCCAGGGCUCAACCCUGGACAGGCGGUGGAAACUACCAAGCUGGAGUACGGUAGGGGCAGAGGGAAUUUCCGGUGGAGCGGGUGAAAAUGCGUAGAGAUCGGAAAAGAACACCAACGGCGAAAGCAUCUGC